rnacentral:rRNA from 1 species
UGGGGAAUAUUGCACAAUGGGCGCAAGCCUGAUGCAGCCAUGCCGCGUGUGUGAAGAAGGCCUUCGGGUUGUAAAACACUUUCAGCGGGGAGGAAGGCGGUGAGGUUAAUAACCUCAUCGAUUGACGUUACCCGCAGAAGAAGCACCGGCUAACUCCGUGCCAGCAGCCGCGGUAAUACGGAGGGUGCAAGCGUUAAUCGGAAUUACUGGGCGUAAAGCGCACGCAGGCGGUCUGUCAAGUCGGAUGUGAAAUCCCCGGGCUCAACCUGGGAACUGCAUUCGAAACUGGCAGGCUAGAGUCUUGUAGAGGGGGGUAGAAUUCCAUGUGUAGCGGUGAAAUGCGUAGAGAUGUGGAGGAAUACCGGUGGCGAAGGCGGCCCCCUGGACAAAGACUGACGCUCAGGUGCGAAAGCGUGGGGAGCAAACAGG